GUGGCUGUGGUUCAGCGGUAGAGCACUUGUUUCGCAUGUGUGAGGCCCUGAGUUCAAUCCUCAGCACCACA
rnacentral:tRNA from 1 species